rnacentral:rRNA from 1 species
UACGAAGGGGGCUAGCGUUGCUCGGAAUCACUGGGCGUAAAGCGCACGUAGGCGGAUUGCUAAGUCAGGGGUGAAAUCCUGGAGCUCAACUCCAGAACUGCCUUUGAUACUGGCAACCUUGAGUCCGGGAGAGGUGAGUGGAACUGCGAGUGUAGAGGUGAAAUUCGUAGAUAUUCGCAAGAACACCAGUGGCGGAGGCGGCUCACUGGCCCGGUACUGACGCUGAGGUGCGAAAGCGUGGGGAGCAAACAGG